rnacentral:rRNA from 1 species
AGUGAACGCUGGCGGUAGGCCUAACACAUGCAAGUCGAACGGCAGCACAGUAAGAGCUUGCUCUUACGGGUGGCGAGUGGCGGACGGGUGAGGAAUACAUCGGAAUCUACUUUUUCGUGGGGGAUAACGUAGGGAAACUUACGCUAAUACCGCAUACGACCUACGGGUGAAAGCAGGGGAUCUUCGGACCUUGCGCGAUUGAAUGAGCCGAUGUCGGAUUAGCUAGUUGGCGGGGUAAAGGCCCACCAAGGCGACGAUCCGUAGCUGGUCUGAGAGGAUGAUAGGCAAAAGUGGAACUGAGACACGGCCCAGACUCCGACGGAGGGCGGCAUGGGGGAAUGUUGAAAAAUGGGCGCAAGCCGUAUCCAGCCAUACCGGGGGGGGGAAGAAGGCCUUCGGGUUGUAAAGCCCUUUGUUUGGGAAAAAAAAGCAGCAGGUUAAUACCCCGCUGUUCGGAGGGGCCCAAAAGAAUAAGCACCAGCGAAUUUGGG